rnacentral:rRNA from 1 species
UAUUGGUCAAUGGACGCGAGUCUGAACCAGCCAAGUAGCGUGAAGGAUGACUGCCCUAUGGGUUGUAAACUUCUUUUAUAUGGGAAUAAAGUUUUCCACGUGUGGAAUUUUGUAUGUACCAUAUGAAUAAGGAUCGGCUAACUCCGUGCCAGCAGCCGCGGUAAUACGGAGGAUCCGAGCGUUAUCCGGAUUUCUUGGGUUUAAAGGGAGCGUAGGUGGUUAAUUAAGUCAGCGGUGAAAGUUUGUGGCUCAACCAUAAAAUUGCCGUUGAAACUGGUUGACUUGAGUAUAUUUGAGGUAGGCGGAAUGCGUGGUGUAGCGGUGAAAUGCUUAGAUAUCACGAAGAACUCCGAUUGCGAAGGCAGCUCACUGGACUGCAACUGACACUGAUGCUCGAAAGUGUGGGUAUCAAACAG